rnacentral:rRNA from 1 species
AUUGAACGCUGGCGGCAUGCUUUACACAUGCAAGUCGAACGGUAACAGGCCGCAAGGUGCUGACGAGUGGCGAACGGGUGAGUAAUGCAUCGGAACGUGCCCAGUCGUGGGGGAUAACUGCUCGAAAGAGCAGCUAAUACCGCAUACGAUCUAUGGAUGAAAGCGGGGGACCGUAAGGCCUCGCGCGAUUGGAGCGGCCGAUGUCAGAUUAGGUAGUUGGUGGGGUAAAGGCUCACCAAGCCAACGAUCUGUAGCUGGUCUGAGAGGACGACCAGCCACACUGGGACUGAGACACGGCCCAGACUCCUACGGGAGGCAGCAGUGGGGAAUUUUGGACAAUGGGGGCAACCCUGAUCCAGCAAUGCCGCGUGCAGGAAGAGGGCCUUCGGGUUGUAAACUGCUUUUGUACGGAACGAAACGGUCUGGGUUAAUACCCUGGGCUAAUGACGGUACCGUAAGAAUAAGCACCGGCUAACUACGUGCCAGCCGCCGCCGUAAGAC